GACGAACGCUGGCGGCGUGCUUAACACAUGCAAGUCGAACGAAGUGGCGAACGGGUGAGUAACGCGUAAUCAACCUGCCCUUCAGAGGGGGACAACAGUUGGAAACGACUGCUAAUACCGCAUACUGAAGGAGGGGAUUGCGUCUGAUUAGCUAGUUGGAGGGGUAACGGCCCACAAAGGCGAUGAUCAGUAGCCGGUCUGAGAUGAUGAACGGCCACAUUGGGACUGGGACGCGGUCCGAACUGCUACGGGGGGCAGCAGUGAGGAAUAGUGGUCAAUGGCCAAGAGUCUGAUCCAGCAAUUCUGUGUGCACGAUGAAGUUUUUCGGGAUGUAAAGUGCUUUCAGUUGGGAAGCGGUACCAACAGAAGAAGUGACGGCUAAAUACGUGCCAGCAGCCGCGGUAAUAC
rnacentral:rRNA from 1 species